rnacentral:rRNA from 1 species
UUUAACUGAGCGUUCAGUUACUUGACGUAGACCCGAAACCGGGCGACCUACCCAUGAGCAGGAUGAAGCGAAAGUAAAAUUUCGUGGAGGUCCGAACCCACGAGCGUUGAAAAGCUCGGGGAUGACUUGUGGGUAGCGGUGAAAUUCCAAUCGAGCCCGGAGAUAGCUGGUUCUCCCCGAAAUAGCUUUAGGGCUAGCCUCAAGGUGAGAGAUACGGAGGUAGAGCACUGAAUGUCCUAGGGGGUAUUGCACCUACCGAAGACUAUCAAACUCCGAAUGCCGUCAUCUUAUACUUGGGAGUCAGACUGUGGGUGAUAAGAUUCAUAGUCGAAAGGGCAACAGCCCAGAUCGUCAGCUAAGGUCCCUAAAGGGAAGUUAAGUGGUAAAGGAUGUGGGAUUGCACAGACAACCAGGAUGUUGGCUUAGAAGCAGCCACUCAUUCAAAGAGUGCGUAAUAGCUCACUGGUCGAGUGAUCCUGCGCAGAAGAUUUCCGGGGCUAAAACUUACUACCGAAGCUACGGCAUCAGUAAUGAUGGGUAGGGGAGCUUCCCAUACGGGUUGAAGCAUGACCGUAAGGACAUG